rnacentral:snRNA from 1 species
AUAACUGGCUUGUGGCAGC